UGGUGGCGAUAGCGAAGAGGUCACACCCGUUCCCAUACCGAACACGGAAGUUAAGCUCUUCAGCGCCGAUGGUAGUUGGGGGUCUCCCCCUGUGAGAGUAGGACGCCGCCAAGCU
rnacentral:rRNA from 1 species